CGGGAAGCGCUUCGAGCCGAGUAGCCCCGGGCUCUCCCGUCCUCCCGAGUGCCGGCAGUGCCUCCGUCGUGAACGCGAUCGGCAGCUUUCGUCGGUGCCCUUUUCCCGUCUGCUUUUCCCGUGGCGGUGGCGGUGAAUCGAGAGAGGAAGCGGUCCUGGGGCACGGCUCGGGGCUCUCAGGGCUUCCUUGGAGUUGCUGGGAGCGUCUGCUGUUAGCAGCAGUUGCUGCGGGAACUCUCCCGUGCUUUCAGCACUCGACCUCCGUUGUACUCUUGAGGGCUUCACCCGACGGCUGCGGGCUGCGGGCUGCGGGCUGGGAUGCGAUGGCAGUGGAUGCAAGUGAGCAGUCCCGUGAGAAGCUCCUUGUUUGCCAAGUUCCUGCCGUGAGGCUGUAGGACCGAGGCCCUCUUUAGCGCACCGCUACAGAGCCAUAGGAAUCUGGGAUGCUUCUGCACACGUACGGCUUGCUGUGCUCUGAUGUUAGCAAUGGAGGCGGGGAUUUGGGAUUUGGGAUUUGGGAUUUGGGAUUUGGCCUUUGGCCUUCGGCCUUUGGCCGGGGAGGGUUUGCUUGCAGACAGAGGCUGACACACACUGAGCUGAGCUGCAGCGUUCACGUUCAGGACGUCCAGACUGCAGCUUUCCCACAUGCUGCACAAACAUGGAGCUGCUCACUCCAGAGCCGUAGGACUGCAUGCCCCCAGUUAUAUUAAUCUUUUCAUUUCUGUGCAGCUCACACCCCUUCUCAGCCAUGGCAAAAAUAAAAGAAAUGUGCUAACAGGAUAAUUUGGUCAGUAUUGGCAAAGUAGGAACUGACAGCUGAAAGAAAACCAAUACGGGAGGGGCGGGCUGAAAGAAACAAGCAGAACCGCAGCAGACAGAAGUUGCUAGCAAAUAACUUGUGCUUAUACUUCUUUUAACCUAGAAAUGAGAAAAUGGAACCGAGGGAGCUUGUGAAAGAGGAGAUCCUUGAGACAAAGCGCAGUGCCAGCCAGAAGCUCAGCCUCGGAUACCUGCACGUGGCCGUCAGACAGAAGAUGGGCAUGAAGACGAGAGCAGAGACAGACCCUACAUUGCACCAAGGCCACGUCAGCUAUGCAGGAGACAGUGGACCUGCAAAUGCAACAAGAAACAGGAAGCUCUUCUUUAACGUCCGUUGUUGCCUUCGUCCUCCCAGCGGCUUCUCCUGCAAGAAGAUGUGGAUGAAGAUCAAGUGAGCACCAGGCUGCCGCCAUAUGUGCAGGAACACCUGCAGAAUAAAAAGUCCUGUUCACCAGAGAUGUACCGCUCCUCUUUGCACCCCGGGAAGCAGGCUGGAGGGGAUUGGGCUCUGGGUGU
rnacentral:lncRNA from 7 species